GCUAUUUGCCCGGAUCCCGAUCCAUUCUUGAGAUCUUGUUUCUUUCUUUUUCGCAUUUUUCAUUUUUUUUUACCUAUGCAACAUCAGUUCAUUUCUGGUUAAUAGCAGUAGUUUGAGUUGGAAUUUUAUGACUACUGUCAAUCUGUCAUGUGGAAGUGAAGAAGCAUUGGGAGUUGAAACUGGAUAAUAUAAAUAUCUUUGCCUCCCAAGGCUCGAGAACAAUUUAUUGUAGAUUGUAUGAGGAUGGACAUGGGACUGGAUUUGAAUUUUGAAAUGCUGAAACCGUGCGCAGGAACCACGUGAUCGUGUGAGCUGCAAAAGUAGAAUUCUUUGCCAGACACCUUUCAAACCCUGAACCCCCACGACAGAUUUUCUUUCUCACUCUCUCUCGGCCGCACCUGCAUUUUUCGCAAAAUCUUUGGGUUCCUCGAUUUCAACUGAAUUCUUCUCCAUUUUCAAGCAUACUUCAAUCUCAUUUCAUUCAAGGUACCAUGGAAGGAACAUCCAAGAAAUGCUCUCGGUCACAGAAAUACUACUCCAACACCUUCAAAACCAAAGAAGUGAAGAAGCUGUAUGCAAAUAGGUUCAAGCAGAGAGCUGUGCUUGCUGAGCGAGGAGUGACAUGCGCAGAUUUCUCCGGGGAAUUUGCCGAUAAGCGAGGAUUGAGGGGAUCCGAAUACAGUGCACGGAGAUCUUGCUUGAAAGGGCACCCAAUUUCUACCGAAAUCCCAUAUCUUAUGUCUUCCGACAGUGCACAAUGCUGUUCUUCCUCUAGUUCCCACUCCCCUACCCGCAAGAACCCUCGUAGGCAGACCCUCCUCAGCAGGCCAAGAACACGUUCUUUGAAGCCCUAUUUCCUUAGAAGCAGCACUCAAAGGUAUUGCAUGCAGCAAACCAGCACUCUAAAGGUAAGACACAAAAUAUACCUUCUCUCUGGAAUGACUGAUUGUUCUUGAUUGCAUUGAUUGCUGUACUCAGCCUCCGAUUUUUUAUAUGCUCAUAAUGGUUGCAAUGCCUACUACGUUUUCCAUGUUACAUGCUCAAUGGUUAUGUACGUUUCAUUUUUUCGUACAUAACGUGACAAAUCCGGAUUUGGGUGGAUCCCAUCAUUAACACUGUUGAUGGCACGCCAAUUAUGUGGGAGCGUAUUAAAUUGGUAAAAAAAAGCUUGGGACGAUCGGCUAGCAGGGACACAAGCAGUCAUAGUGCCAAAAGUAAGGAAAAACGACCAAUGUUCGAUGAGUCGUCAUUUAAGGGUAAGGCCGAUGGUGACAUUUCAAUGGGGCCUAGUAGCAAUAUGCCCAAAGAAGUUCAAGAAAUAGUAGAGGCAACGAAAGAUCUCUCAAGUGUCGACUCUUACCACUAUACCUUGCUUUCUUCGACCAUACAUAGCACAUGCACAUCGGCUAGGCCCAUGGUUGUAUGUAUGAAACUUCUCAAUAAUGAGUUUGACAAGAUAUCAGUUGAUACCUACUUUAAAGCAAUACGGUCAUGUUAUUCUCAGCAGCAAUUCCGAUGGGAUUUCAUAAGGAUGUCCGACGACCAUAGGAGGUCGUGGUUAUCGCAGUUGUUGCCUUAGAAUAUUGUUUUCUUUAACUUCUUUGUUGUUUUUUUUUUUUUGUUUUUUUAAUAGGUAAAUUUAGCCACGUGUUUAUAAUUCAAUCGCAGUUGUUGCCUUAGAAUAUCCGUUUAUGUAAACUGGUAUCAGUUCCAAGAAACUAAACUUUUUGUUAUAUUCGCGACUUCAAACUACAACAUAUAGGCAGUCAAAGUGAAAUCUUAAAAGGAACAAUCAAGUA